CCUCACAUCGUUAAUUCAACAUUCUGUGCCCAGCUAAUCGACGCCGUGUCGUAGUUUAUUAGUAAGAUUAUCAUAAAUAAUUGCUGAAGCGCUUACGUCAGCACUUAAAUUAUUGUUAAUUACAUCCAUAGAUAAAGAAAUACUAUAAUAAGAACUAAAAUUAGAAUUUUACCCCAUACAAUUUGACUCUUAUUUCUGUUAUGGAGGACGUAUCAUGUUAAAGGUAUAAAUAAUAAGCACUUAGAAGCUUUUUAAUUUUGUUUCUAAGUGUAUAUACUUGUUACUGAAAUAUUGAAACAGUGAAAUAGAGAAAUUUUAAAUUGUUUCUGAAUAAACAAUAAAAAUAAAUAAAAAGCGUUUGAAUAAUAUUCAUUGUAUGUUUAGAAUUAUAUCUUUCAUACUCCUAAAGUUAAAAAAAAUGCAUUAGGUUUAUCAUGUUCUUAUGGAGCUUCAAUCAAGAUAACUACCAGUAGUAUACAACAGAACCACCACUGAUCACGAUUACCUGGGUGCCAAUCUGCACCAGUAUGCUUUGCCAACACCCCAGAAUGGACGCAGACACCUGCCCCAGCGUCCAGCCCUAGCCGCCAACCCUACAGAAGAGGACGGCUACAGGAAGAUCACCCGUCUCUACUGAUCAGCACGCCACCAAAUGGUUAAUCUGCCAAGGGUGGGCAUUGGCCAAGAAGAAAAAGAAUAUUUUUGGUUCAGUUAUCUUCCUAUUUACUGGAAAGUUACUUUGGAAUCUGCAAAGUUGUUAGUACAAUUCUCAUCCACAUACCUCUGUGAGUCUGGAUUGUUAUCAUUGGUUUGUCUAAAGUUAGAAAUCAAGCAAAACUGGACGUAAAAAGUGAUGUGCUUAGUCACUGCUAAUUACAGAUAUUUAAAAACUUGUAAAAGACAAAACAGUGCUAACCAUCUCACUAAGUUACAAAGUGACUGAUAUAAUAGCGUUAUUAACUAAAUUUUGUACAUUUUAUAACAAAAUUAAUUUUUGUUCUGUAUUUCAUUGCUUUAUUAAAAUGAACUUACUGGUGGCAAUAAGUGUAGGCUAAGACUACUCAAAAAGGUAUUUAAACCAUAUUAAAUGUUGUAUUGAAAAAUUAUAAAAUAUUUAACUUUAAAACAAGUAUUGUAAAUAAAAUUUAAUUUAGUUUCAAAAAGAAAUUCAUAUCCAAAUAUUGGACUAUAUUCAAAUAAAAAUGAGUUAAAAAUAAUAAGACAAGCCUGAAAACUAACAAAACUCCUAUGGACUAAAGCAAUUUACAUUAAUUGGUAGUAUGUUUGUUUGAAUACUAAUUGAAGCUAAAGGUCUUAGUAGUAAAUGUAAUUUUUUCAGUAUAUAUAAUCUUUGAUAAAAAAAACGCAUAGGUGAUUCCUUUAAAAUAAAACUUACCUACAGUAUAUCUAAGGCCUCACAAAGGAGGAAAAUGAAAAAUUGUGUGAUGGACAAGGUAUUUUUUAAUUUACAAGGAUAUAAGAUAUACUACAAGAAAUUUCAUAUUAAGCUAAUGAUUGUUUAAGUGAUACAAAAAUUUGAACCUGUGUGUAACAAUAAGCUUAAAUUUAUUCCAAAUACAAUACUGUAAUAGAAUGUGCAGCUAGGUGUAACUAAAACAAAACUUUUCACAUGACAAAAUAUUUAAACCACAAUAAAACAUGUUACAAAAGUCAAGAUAAGAAUAAAA